rnacentral:rRNA from 1 species
GCAAGUCUGGUGCCAGCAGCCGCGGUAAUUCCAGCUCCAAUAGCGUAUAUUAAAGUUGUUGCGGUUAAAAAGCUCGUAGUUGAACUUUGGGCCUGGGCGGACGGUCUACCUAUGGUAAGCACUGUUGCGGCCGGGUCUUUCCUUCUGGCUAGCCCUCGGGCGAACCAGGACGAUUACUUUGAGGAAAUUAGAGUGUUCAAAGCAGGCCUUUGCUCGGAUAUAUUGGCAUGGAAUAAUAGAAUAGGACGCAUGGUUCUAUUUUGUUGGUUUCUAGGACCAUCGUAAUGAUUAAUAGGGACGGUCGGGGGCAUCAGUAUUCAGUCGUCAGAGGUGAAAUUCUUGGAUUGACUGAAGACUAACUACUGCGAAAGCAUUGCCAA